rnacentral:rRNA from 1 species
UACGUAGGGUGCAAGCGUUGUCCGGAAUUAUUGGGCGUAAAGAGCUCGUAGGCGGUCUGUCGCGUCGGCUGUGAAAACCCGUGGCUCAACCUGGGCCUGCAGCCGAUACGGGCAAGCUAGAAUUCGGUAGGGGAGACUGGAAUUCCUGGUGUAGCGGUGAAAUGCGCAGAUAUCAGGAGGAACACCGGUGGCGAAGGCGGGACUCUGGGCCGAUACUGACGCUGAGGAGCGAAAGCGUGGGGAGCAAACAGG